rnacentral:lncRNA from 1 species
UCAAAUCUGAUAUCUUUUAAAAAAGGAAACAAAAUAUUGUCAAAUUAUAUUUCGUUUUUAAAAUUAAAAAAAUAUAAAUAAAUAAAAAUAAUAGUAGUUGCAAAAAAAAGUUUUAAAAAAAAAUUAAUACCAUAAACAAAACACUAAACUCUAAAUCUAAACCUUCAACUCUUUGGUAAAUUCUAAACCCUUUGAUAAAUUUUAAAUUCUUGAAUUUUAAAAAAAAAUUAUUUUUAACACAAUCAACAAAACACUAAACCCUAAAUCCUAAUCCUAAACCCUAAACCCUUGGAUAAACCCUAAACCCUUGGGUAAACCCUAAACCCUUGGAUAAAUCCGAAACUCUUGGAUCAAAUCUUAAACUUUAAGAUUUAUGAUUUAUUCAAGAGUUUAGGGGUUACCUAAAAGUUUAGGGUUUAGGGUUUAAUAUUUGUUGGCAG